UGCAAUUGAUGAAAUAUUUGCUUAUGAUCAAUAAAUGAUUCUUUUAU
rnacentral:snoRNA from 1 species